UAAAUCUGUAGUUGCUGCUUCUGUUCGACACAGUCCUAAGCUUCCUCGAAUCACACCUGAGCUCAUCUCUGCAACUUCUGAAAACUCUCAAACCUUAAACCAACCAAAACGAAAUGUUCUCCUCAUAUUCUUCCUUCUCCCUUCUAUCUCUUCUCCCUCACUCUUCUCUCCACGACUCGCUGGAUACACAGUUGCGGGUAGCGAUGAUUUUGACGAUUCCAUUGGUCUAAAACGGCUCCUCAUCACCUAAGAGAACUGGCGAUUCCGCUUCCAACUCCUCUCUAAUCCAAUCUGUCCAUAUCUCUCUGCAUCUCAUCAUUUUCCUACUUUUUUUCCUCAAAAAAAUAAUUAAAAAGCAAGGAAACCUAGAAACUGAGCAUAAUUUUAUUUUAAUUUUUUUGAUUUAAAGAGGAAAAAGUUGGUUCUUUCGUUACAUGCAUGAUUGGGUGGUAUUAUUUUAUUAAAGAUCAUAUUUUUAUUGAUGGGUUAUCAGGUCAUAGGCCACGAAGCUUCGAAUUCAGGGCAGUACCCUGUGGUAAUGAGCACAUGGCCCUUCGUAAAGGCUGUCAGAGCAUCCUGGCGGGCUGGGGAUAAUGGAUUCUCCGUCGUGGAUUUCGUCGUUAAGGGUUGCUCAACUUGCGAGGAACCCAGUUUGGGUUCGACAUUCCUGGCGACUUUCAGAGGUUUUCUGGUGGCGGCCGCCCCUGCAACCACAACUAUUUGACUCAAAGAGUCCCAACAGCAACAUGUGAGCUUUGCAUGCUCGAAUCUACCCAUCGAUCGAAGAUUUCCAUAAGUCCAGCUUGCGGUGGGUUUUUUCGACGAAGAUCCGAAUCUUUUUCGGCCAAUUUCAGGCCUUUGAGACCUCUUUUAGGUCUCGCCAAGGAAAAUAAAUGCAGAAAAAGAAUGCUCAUCUAAAAGUGAAAUGAAAUCGUGUGAUUAAACUUGGAGCAGGGUGUGGAGUAGUUGGGUUUGGCAUGGCUUUACUGGAGGUGUGACGUGGUUACGAAAGAUCAAGCAGAGGUUUUGCCCUUGGAAUGAGAAAAUUUGGAAUAUGCAAUGUUAUGAUUAAUAUAAAUAUUUUAAAUGCAAUGUCAUGAAUAUUUAUGUUCAUAUAUAUUUGUAAGGAACAAUAGAACAGGCGAAUGUACUAUAGGCAUACAAACUCUACUCUUUAACACAUAUUUUCUACACUUUCUACACUAC